rnacentral:rRNA from 1 species
CUAUGCGCCUUGCCAGCCCGCUCAGGUGUGCCAGCCGCCGCGGUAAUACGGAGGAUGCGAGCGUUAUCCGGAUUUACUGGGUGUAAAGGGAGCGCAGGCGGCUUUGCAAGUCUGAUGUGAAAGGCCGGGGCUCAACCCCGGGACUGCAUUGGAAACUGUAAAGCUAGAGUGCCGGAGAGGUAAGCGGAAUUCCUAGUGUAGCGGUGAAAUGCGUAGAUAUUAGGAGGAACACCAGUGGCGAAGGCGGCUUACUAGACGGCAACUGACGCUGAGGCUCGAAAGCGUGGGAGCAAACAGG